AGAGUUUGAUCCUGGCUCAGAUUGAACGCUGGCGGCAGGCCUAACACAUGCAAGUCGAGCGGAUGAAAGGAGCUUGCUCCUGGAUUCAGCGGCGGACGGGUGAGUAAUGCCUAGGAAUCUGCCUGGUAGUGGGGGACAACGUUUCGAAAGGAACGCUAAUACCGCAUACGUCCUACGGGAGAAAGCAGGGGACCUUCGGGCCUUGCGCUAUCAGAUGAGCCUAGGUCGGAUUAGCUAGUUGGUGAGGUAAUGGCUCACCAAGGCGACGAUCCGUAACUGGUCUGAGAGGAUGAUCAGUCACACUGGAACUGAGACACGGUCCAGACUCCUACGGGAGGCAGCAGUGGGGAAUAUUGGACAAUGGGCGAAAGCCUGAUCCAGCCAUGCCGCGUGUGUGAAGAAGGUCUUCGGAUUGUAAAGCACUUUAAGUUGGGAGGAAGGGUUGUAGAUUAAUACUCUGCAAUUUGACGUAC
rnacentral:rRNA from 1 species